UAGAAAAAAAAGGGUACUUUCACUUCAACACUUUAGAAGCCUAGCUAGUCUUAAGUGAAACUAGCUUUUACGUAUGCUGCUAGCAGCAGCUAAUUCUAUCUAUGGAAAAGCUCAACCAUGCUCCCAAACACCUCUAAAUAUUUCUAAAGGUUCCAUGGUCAUCCUAGAAAAAUUCCUCACGGUUUUGGAGUGAUUUCUCCAUGGAAGGUCCUUGUGAUGUUAGGUAAGCUCAUCCUUCUUCUUGUGUUGGGGAUUUGAGAUUCCUUCAAAUUGAAACAAAGUUAAAUACAACCGAUUUUGGUGUUUUGCGGUAAGACCCUACUCCAUCUAUGUGGAACUAAGGAUAUACAAGUUACGGCUAGCUUGUAGAAUCGGAAAAUUACAGUUCUGAUGUUAUUGUCUCUUGGGCUGUUUUGGGUAAUGUAAGGUGCUGGCAUUAUUGUUGUGAUGUUGUUGCAUAUUGGAUCGUUUUAGGAAUUGAAAGUCGUUCAUGUUAUAGAUGAACAAGAUUGAUGGUUUAAAGGUGUUAAAUGUUAAAAAUUAUAAAUUGAAGAACUAAACGAUACACUUGAAGUGUUAGUUAUGUUGUGUAGAGAUGUUGAGCUGAUUUAGUUCUGUCGAACGGUUGGAGAUACUGAUGGAUACGUAACCAUGUAUUGGUUGAUGAAGUUAUGAGGUUUAAAAGGGAGCUAGAUGAAGAUUAUGGCGCAGAAGUUCGUCUAGAAUUGUUUUCCCUUCAUCGGCUAGUUACUAUGCUUCUCGUUAUUUAUGGAAGUAUUGCCUGGAUGGUUGUCGCUUGAUUUUCUAAGGAAGCUGAUCCUAUUACCCUGUUGGGAAGUCGACAAGCAGGUAUGUAAAGCUAUCCUUUCUUUCUUUUUGACAUGAUUUAUGUGAGACAAGCUCAUAUUCUUAGAGACACUAGGAUGGCUAAUGUUCUUGAUUUCUAGAACCUAUUUCAUUAUGUUUUGAUACGUGUCUAUGAUUCGUAAAGUUCUAUUUGAUAUAAUCCAUAGUGACAUUCGAGGGGUACUUGACAUUACUGUUGUCUUUGAUACUCAAGUGUUAGUUCAUUCUACUUAAUAUAUUGAGUCUCAGAUGAUGAUUUAGUUUGCAUAUGGUUGCUCACUACUCUGCUCGUGCAUGCCGUUAAUAUAUCUUUCACCGAGUCUCGGGCCGGGUAUGUUUUCGUGCACAGUUUCACUGCAUUGUUCACCGAGUCCCUCACUAGAGGGUCGGGUACGUGUAUAUAUAUAUGAUGAUAUGAUUAUGGCACCGAGUCCCAUGAUGGGCCGGGUAUGGUAUGUGAUGACUUUAUUCACCGAGUCCCAUAAAGGGCCGGGUAUGGUAUAUGAUAUAGACAUGCAUGAUUCUCAUCUCGUAAGGUACAGGUGCACUGGUAUCUUUGAUUAUCAUGCUUGCCUCCUGUAAUAUUUUAUUCAGUUAAAAUUUACUUUAUCGUAUUUCAUGCUUUAUAUACUCAGUACAUAUUUCGUACUGACCCCCUUUCUUCUGGGGGCUGCGUUUCAUGCCCGCAGGUACAGACACUCAGUUUGGCGAUCCUCCAGCCUAGGACUUUUGCUUAGUUGUUUGGAGAGCUCCAUUGUUCCGGAGCCUAGAUUAUUUUGGUACAGAUCUUUUGAUGUAGACUUAUGCAUAUCCAAGGGCACGGCGGGGCCUUGUCCCAUCAUAUUUCACUUUUAUACUCUUAGAGGUCUAUAGACAUAUAUGGGUUGUAUAUAGGUUUUGGUCAGCUGUGACUCCUCAGGAGACAGGUUUACUAUGAUAUAUGGCGUUAUGAAUCUUUAGUUGCUUUUACAAAUUUCCAUUCCAUCCUUAGUUUCAGUUUGAAUAUAUCUAACAGGUUUGUAUAUGAAUGUCCAGCUCAGGCACUGGUCAUGGCCCAUGGGGUUGGGUCGUGACAAAAGUGGUAUCAAAGCAGUUCAUCCUCGCAGUGUCUACAGACCAUGUCUAGUAGAGUCUUGUUUAUCGGUGUGUUGUGCACCACAUCUAUAAAUAGGAAGCUACAGGACAUUUAGGAUGUCACUUUUCCUUCAUAUCUUAGUAUCGUGCGAUAGAGCCAAGAGAUAGGAAAUGAUAUCCCUUGUAUACUGACCUUUGAUUUCAGCAGGAGAGUGGUGUCGACAAGAGAAGGUAAAUAAUGCUACUGGGAGUUACAGAGGCUUAUAUUUCAUUGAGGUUACGUUAUCAGAAAGUGUAUAUACAGAAUGGCGACUGGUCAUCAUCAAGGUUAGUAAUUUGUAAAUAUAGUAAGAAAAUGGAUUGAAUGUAUAUAUAUUGAUGAUAAGUUCAGUUAUAAAGUGUGAACAGAAGAAGCUGAAGGAAUCAAUAAAAAGAUAGGUAAGCGGGGUAUAUGUCAGAUACGGUAUGAAUGUUGCAGGUAUGAUUGAAACCUGCAGUUAAAGAUUGAAAGGAAAAGUAAAUAGAAAAGUAUAACAGGUAUAGUUUGAGUUAAACAUACGAGGUAAGUUCAUCAUUUUCGUACGGUUGUUGAUAUUGGGAGCCCUGUGUGGCUAUCAUAUGAUAUAUAUAUAUAUAUAUAUAUAUAUAUAUAUAUAUAUAUAUAUAUAUAUAUAUAUAUAUAUAUAUAUAUAUAUAUAUAUAUGUGUGUGUGUGUGUGUGUGUGUGUGUGUGUGUGUGUUGGCCCUGUGAGGCAUUGUUGGUAUUUCCUGUGUGCAGGUUUUGGGGUAGUAAGAAAUAUAGAGGAAACUCUACCAAAAUUUUCCUAGAAAUAAAGAGAGAAUGAGAUAUAGGUUCGUUAGACACUUAAAAGAAUAUAAUUAUCAUGUCAAUCAAAUUCUAUAAUAUAGGCUUAAUUAUUGAAUUAAAAUAUUAUUUUGAUAAUAUUAUUUAUUAUUUGUUGAUGUUAAUUACCAAUUAUCAUUUGCUAUUUAAAAAUUUCUUCGUCCAAUUAUAGAUUAAAAAAUUAUUUUCUCCUGUAAUUUUGUAUCGUACAUGCUGGCAAAAAUAAGUAAUUAACAAAGAUUUCACUUAAGGUAAGAUUAGGUUUAAAAUCAAAAGAAUAAAUACAAAUAGACUAUCUUUGUUAAAUAUACUUAAAAAUGAAUCAAAAUUGUAAAUUAUAGUCCGAAGUACGUUAGUUAAUUAUGCAAAUUAAGAAGAACUAUAAAUAUUAUAGUUAUAAAAACAUUGUAGUUAAAGAAACCAAACAGUAGUAAUACUAAACAAUUGCAAAAAGUGGAGUAUAUUUUUUACCUUUUUAAUAUUAAAAUAUUUUGCAAAAUACCGUAUAAUCAAAGACAAAAUAGUUAAAUUCAACAUGAAAAAGUUAUUACAAUGUGAAUUUCAUAAAUGAUUUAUUAAAUUAAGAAAAAGAAAAAGAAAAAGAUAUUAUUUUUUAACAUGCAUCUUUUGGAAGGAAAAUGAAAGCUUAAAAUAAGAACAAUUUAAUUUUAUGGAAUUUCAAUAUUUUUUUCGUGUGUUUAAUUUGAGAAAAUAUCUUGUAAUAUCAAGGGUCUUAAUUAUUUAUAUUUAUUUAUAAGUUAACUUUAUUGAUUUCAUCAUACAACAAUAUUUUUUCGCAGUAAAUACUUUUGACAUGAAUGGAAUAUUGUAAUAUUUUUUGGUAAAAAAAUAAGUAAGUUUAAUUCAAAAAACAAGUGAAAUUAAUUUAACAUAUGAAAAGCCGAAUUUGGAUCAUCGGAGAUUUUAGUCUAAAAAUAUUUAAGUAAAAUAGAAAUUAGAAAAGCCAAUGUUUGAUUUUUUUUUUUAAAUUAAUAUAUAAACUAAAAAAAUGUUUUCCCUUAACUUUCGGAUAGAAGUCUAUUGAAAAUAUCUAAUUGAUGUUGGAAAAACAAAGGAACAAUAACAGAAUUUUUUUACAAAAUAUCUACAAAUUGAAUUUUGUAAGAUCAAUCCGAGCCAAAUGACACUAGUUUUUCUACUAUAUAGAAGACCCAUGAUUAGAACGACCAAGGGCAAAAACGUGAUUGUUCUUGAUGAUAUUUCAAUUGCACUCCAUCACUUUUCCACUCCAAGUUUGUCACACCACUGACAACCAUAAGUCCGUAAGUAUCUAUUCUUCUGCUAUUUUUUGUCUUUUCAAUUUCUCUUCAGAUUAACUAUUUCUUGGUUGUUGAAGGAAAUAUUAAACAUUUAGUUAAAACAGAUUAUGGUUGUAACUCCAUUUGCUUUAGAAUCUUUUCAAAAUUUCAAAUUCUGUUCAUACCGAAUUUGAUUGCUUUUUUUUUUUUCGUUUCCAGCCACGAAAAAAAAAUCACUUUUCGUUUUCAUCUCCUGUUAAUUUCUUCCAUUUCCAUCUUCUGGCCCUAUUUGUGGAGGUAUACUCUGGUAAUUUGGUGCUAAUACUUGAGUUCUUGACCUAAUUUUUAUACAAGGUUGUAUCAUAUAUAUACUAUCUCAGGUAUAUAUAUAUGAUAGAAUGAAGUGCUGGUCAAGAGAAAAUUUGGGCUUCCUUUGUGUCCAAGUUACUACUUAUCUUUCGGGCUAAUCAUUCAGGUUUUCAAGACGAUUGUCGUAUGGACACUUGUGAGAAACAAAUUCCCAUAUUUAUGGAUCCUUGACAAACAGAAAAAGUCACAUGAUAAGAAUGUCAAACGCAGUAAAAUCUAUGAUCAUAUGACAAUGGCCAAGAAAAAAGCAUUGUUAUUGCAACAACACCUCCAAAAUUUAGAGGCAAUAAUUGCCUUCUUGCAAACACAAAUAAUGUCAACAUCUCAUGCAUCGUAAUCUUGCUAUUAGUGCCUCUUGUUCUAUUUUCAGAAUAGGUUAGAAUUUCAAAUCUGCUAUUUCUUUCUUUUCUCAUAUAUCUCAUAUGAGAAAAGAAAAUAAACAACGGUUAUGCCGAUGUUAUCUGUAUGUGUAUAAGAAUAACUUUUUCUUUAUAAGAAAAUCUAAUAUUAGAUCCAGCUUGUCCGCUCCUUUCUUUUAUUUUAAAUGUUUUCAUGUAGUAGUUUCUGGGCGUUGCAAAGGGAAGGAUGUGGUUCAUCUUUUUUGUGUUUUCAAAAAAGGUGUGCCAAAGCCGUCCUCCUCAUUUAAGUUUCUUAGGUUGCUUUUUGAUAUUGUUUUAAGAAUUGAGUAGUUCAAUUAAUGACCUUAUUACUAUCAAUGACAUUUGAUUGAAAAGUAAAAUUUGUUGUCUGUUUUCUUUAAGUUAGUAUAAUACACUAGAACUUUUUUGCAUGUACUUGAUCUUCUAGCUUAUGCUCGAUGAAUGGGGGAAUUGCAGAACGAAGGGCUCCAAAGAGUCCAGCCUAUUUCUGUAGAGAGGGGAUUAUGCUCCUGGCUUGAAGGGAUAAGGUUGAAUACGGAUCAUGUCUGCUCUAAAAUUUUGGUGGUCCUCCUUGUGUUUCCUGGUAUGACGUACAUUCAGCGUUACAUAGCAGAGAAAUGGACAGAUAGCCAUAGGGGAAAUGGGUGAAUCCUGUCAUUUCUACAGGACACACCGUUUUGCCAUCUCCGGAGUUCGAGGACUCCUAGUUAGUGGGCUUGGAUGAACUCCAUUAGGUUUCCUUAAAUUUCCUACUUUGACAUGAUUUAUGUCCAAUUCCUAAAAAUUGGAAUGAUCUAGAGAUGUUGCUUCUCCAGGAUAGUGUGCAUGAACAAGCAUCCAUGGAAUGUAAUUCACAGAAGGGAGCAAAUUUUACUGUACUUGAAUAUAUAAAUUAUGAAACUGUUUCUUGUGUUUCUAUACGUUGAACUUUCUAUUUAGUGAUGGAGUUGUGCUUCACUUUCGUUUCUCUAAAAUCAUGGGCAAUCACUUUAAGGAUGCAUACAUAUUUACAUGUCUCAAUUGUAUAUCUCACAUAGAUGUUGUGUUAAGAUUUAACACAAAUUAGCACAUGUCUCAUCCUUAAAUUGUCAGAGAUUAAUUUUAAAAUGCAACUGCUUUUGAAAAAACGCGCAUGAACAAGUAAUGUACCAAGAAUGUCAUUUGUACCGCUAUCUUCCUGGAACUUGAAUGUAAUUUGAAGAAGAGAGCAAAUUGGUUAUUCUUCAAUGAACCGAACUACAGAUUCUCAAAUUGUUACACAUAUGCUCCAAUCUAAUAUGUAGGUUUGUGUUUCACUAUUUAUCAAGAAGGAAAUGGCGCUUUUAUAUGUGUAAUGUCAUGGUUCCUCUA